rnacentral:lncRNA from 1 species
AUGUACACACAAGCGAUUUUGGAGACCAGCUUUCCCGAAACUCGGGGCUGUUUUUUUCACAGGAGACAGCGCCACAUACUGGUUUUGCGAAUGAAUUCGUGGGCAGAGAUUAAAGAGACUGUUACAUGUCUGCUGCAUAUUCAGUUCACCAGUAUUCAGGACAUACAUAAAGAAGGUAAUAUAUGUAAGAUAUACAGUAAUUUAGACGUAAUAUUAGAUAUAGUUUUUAAUCUAUAUUAACAUUACUUAUAGAUUUGUAAAGCUGUGGGAGAUGGCUGAACCACUUGUGAUUUCUUGUUCAUAAUUUCCUGCUAGCAGCAGCUCACCAAAGAAAUUGCAGUAGCAAGAGCUGUGCUAGGUAGUGGUCUUUAAUUUGCUGUCUGAGGUUUGAAUACAGACUGUGUCUGCUGCAGUUUACUGGUGCUCAAGGGAAGCUGAAAGCAUUUACCAUGGACAAUGAAGUCAUUUUGAAAGAUGCUUCCACAAAAUUGUUUCUUUCUGCAAGUGAAACGAUGGAAGCCAGAAGUGAUAUUAAAAGCAGAAUGAAUUUGUGCCAGAAGUUGUGUCUGCUGUGAAAUCUUGAUGCCUGUGACUGAGAGGAUGAAACAGACUUUCAUAUGAAUUUGCACAUUCCUUUGAGGACCAAAUACAUCUUGGUUCCUGUGCUAAGGGCAACAUAGUAACUCUUGAGAGUUACCAUGCCCAACUCUGGGUUCUCAAAGGCGCAUUUCUUGCCCGUGGAAGUCACACAUGGGAUCCCUGAAGUUAAGACUUUCUGAAACAUCUUUUGAGGAAAAUGAUUUUGUAUAGUCCUAACUAUACAAAAGUCCUGAAAGCAAAUUCCAGAAAUCUCUAUAGCUGAUACUCUUCAUUCAUAGGUGAAGAACUGUAGUCAUUAUAAUAAUACUUUCUGACAGGAACAAAUCAAUUUUCUUUGUCACUGUUUUAUCUUGUAUGAGGAAAAUCCAUGGUAGGUAGUUGGAAUAUUAGCAGUGGAGUUAGCGGUCAUAGUGGAAGGCAGGACAAAGUAAUGUUUCACUGUUCAAAAAUUUCACCAUCUGUGUCUAAAGCAUAAGUCAACAGAUGCUUGUCCAAAGAUUGCUGUUAAAAUGCAGGAAAACAGGUGAUUUUGAACGAUGUGGUAGGCCUCAUCACAUGGACGCAGGAAACACAGGCACAAUGAGUUCUGAGGAAGCAUCUGGAGGAAAGUGGUGAGAUAGCUUGAGAGAUAUUCACUGGGCACUCUUCUCAAACACAGGAAUAAAAGUAACAGAAAGCAUGAAAGUCCUUAUUUA